rnacentral:misc_RNA from 1 species
UCCGGCUUAUCACCGGCAGUUCCCUUAAAGUGCCCAACUGAAUGAUGGCAAUUAAGAGUGAGGGUUGCGCUCGUUGCGGGACUUAACCCAACAUCUCACGACACGAGCUGACGACAGCCAUGCAGCACCUGUGUGGGAGCCAGCCAAACUGAAGGGAUACGUUUCUGUAUCCCAAACUCCCCAUGUCAAGGCCUGGUAAGGUUCUUCGCGUUGCCUCGAAUUAAACCACAUGCUCCACCGCUUGUGCGGGUCCCCGUCAAUUCCUUUGAGUUUUAAUCUUGCGACCGUACUCCCCAGGCGGAGUGCUUAAUGCGUUAGCGGCGCCACCGAACCCUACGGGCCCGACGGCUAGCACUCAUCGUUUAUGGCGUGGACUAC